rnacentral:rRNA from 1 species
AACGAACGCUGGCGGCGCGUCUUAAACAUGCAAGUCGAACGAUCUGUAGCAAUACAGGGAGUGGCGGACGGGUGAGGAACACGUAGGAAUCUACCUCGAAGAGCGGGACAACUUUGGGAAACCGGGGCUAAUACCGCAUAGUACAGAGAUGUUAAAGGGCUAGCAAUAGUCGCUUCGAGAUGAGCCUGCGGUCUAUCAGCUUGUUGGUGAGGUAAUGGCUCACCAAGGCUACGACGGAUAGCCGGUCUGAGAGGAUGAUCGGCCACACUGGCACUGAGACACGGGCCAGACUCCUACGGGAGGCAGCAGUUAAGAAUCUUGCGCAAUGGGGGAAACCCUGACGCAGCGACGCCGCGUGAAGGAUGAAGGCUUUCGGGUUGUAAACUUCGGUAGACUGGGAAGAAGAAAUACGUUCGUUGAGGGCGUAUAGUGACGGUACCAGUCUGAAGCCCGGCUAAUACGUGCCAGCAGCCGCGGUAAU